CGCCUCCCGCAAACAUCAACGUAUAGGAGGUCUUGCCUGCCCAGUGACUACAAGUUAAACGGCCGCGGUAUUUUGACCGUGCAAAGGUAGCGCAAUCACUUGUCUUUUAAAUGAAGACCUGUAUGAAUGGUGAAACGAGGGCUUAACUGUCUCCCCUCCCCAGUCAAUGAAAUUGAUCUGCCCGUGCAGAAGCGGGCAUAAAACUACAAGACGAGAAGACCCUUUGGAGCUUAAGAUAAAGACCAACUAUGUUAAAAGUCCAAAAAAAGACUAAACCCAAUAGCCCUGGUUCCUAUCUUCGGUUGGGGCGACCACGGGAGAAAACAAAGCUCCCAUGAGGACUAGGGAAAUCCCUAAAACUAAGAGAGACAUCUCUAAGGCACAGAAUAUCUGACCACACUGAUCCGGCUACAUGCCGACCAACGAACCAAGUUACCCUAGGGAUAACAGCGCAAUCCCCUUUCAGAGUCCAUAUCGACAAGGGGGUUUACGACCUCGAUGUUGGAUCAGGACAUCCUAAUGGUGCAGCCGCUAUUAAGGGUUCGUUUGUUCAACGAUUAAAGUCCU
rnacentral:rRNA from 1 species